rnacentral:rRNA from 1 species
AUUGAACGCUGGCGGCAGGCCUAACACAUGCAAGUCGAGCGAGCGGCGGACGGGUGAGUAAUGCCUGGGAAUUGCCCAGUCGAGGGGUAUAACAGUUGGAAACGACUUCUAAUACCGCAUACGAUUAGAUUUCCCCGGUGGGAUGAGCUAGUGUGUGAGGUAAUGGCUCACCAAGGCGACCAGCCCUCGCUGGUCUGAGAGGAUGAUCAUCCACACUGGAACUGAGACACGGUCCAGACUCAUACGGGAGGCAGCAGUGGGGAAUAGUGCACAAUGGGGGAAACCAUGAUGCAGCCAUGCCGCGUGUGUGAAGAAGGCCUUCGGGUUGUAAAGCACUUUCAGCGAGGAGGCGUUACUCGCAGAAGAAGCACCGGCUAACUCCGUGCCAGCAGCCGCGGUAAUUC